GAUGAACGCUGGCGGCGUGCCUAAUACAUGCAAGUCGAGCGAACGGACGAGAAGCUUGCUUCUCUGAUGUUAGCGGCGGACGGGUGAGUAACACGUGGAUAACCUACCUAUAAGACUGGGAUAACUUCGGGAAACCGGAGCUAAUACCGGAUAAUAUUUUGAACCGCAUGGUUCAAAAGUGAAAGACGGUCUUGCUUUCACUUAUAGAUGGAUCCGCGCUGCAUUAGCUAGUUGGUAAGGUAACGGCUUACCAAGGCAACGAUGCAUAGCCGACCUGAGGGCGUGGUUGGCCACACGGGAAGUGAGACAGGGUCCAGACUCCUACAGGAGGCAGCAGUAGGGAAUCUUCCGCGAUGGGCGAGAGCGUGACGGAGCAACGCCGCGUGAGUGAUGAAGGUCUUCGGAUCGGAAAACUCUGUUAUUAGGGAAGAACAUAUGUGUAAGUAACUGUGCACAUCUUGACGGUACCUAAUCAGAAAGCCACGGCUAACUACGUG
rnacentral:rRNA from 1 species